rnacentral:ncRNA from 1 species
GUUAGUCGGGGAGCCUUAGGCUGAGACGGUAUUCAUUAUCGGACCCGCUGUACCUGAUCCAGUUAAUGCUGGCGGAGGAAACUAA